AGCCCUCAAUCGGCGCCAACCUCCAGGGGAGCUGUGUGCUCGUCGGCCAGGAAACAUCCCCGACGGAAAUUCCUGCCACGAACAACCCUUAAAUUCUUAAAAACUUGUUAAAUUGCUUAAAAAUUAGAAGGGCAUAACUAAUGCUUCAGGAAAAAUAGUUGACAAGUCCUCUAUCUAUUAGAUAUUGGUACCCAAAAAUAAAAAUGCAACUUAAAACUUUACCAAAUGGUCAACAUUCGCCUCUUCCCAAAAAAAGGGGAGAUGGAGGACUGGGAUUAAUUUGUUUCGCAUUCGGUACGGUUCAUUUUUAGUGGCAGUUGUUGCCUUUUUUAAUGACAAUAGUGUUCGUUUUUACAGGACCCUCAAUUUAUUUGCAACCAAUUUUGUUGCUGUUUUUUUUUUCUUAAAACCAUCUCCAACCCUUGAGUUAAAACCUAAAAUUUUUAACUCACAAAAUUUAGGUUUUAGUCCAGAAAUAGUUUUUAUGCUCCAACUCUUUUGGUCUAAAUUUUUUAGCCCAAGAUUAUUAAAGAAUAAAUUUAGGCUAAUUUUUUCUUUUAAAGUAAUUACGUACACUAUCAUAAUUUAAUUUUAUGAACAUUUUAACCUAAAAAUAUUUAAAUUUUGAUAAAUAUUGAAAAAUCAUUAAAUUUGGGUGAAUUUUGAGUUAAAUAAAUUAUUUUAGCCGUUGGAUUUAAAUUUGAGCCGUGGUCCUGCUGUUGGUGCCCAUACCAUUUUUGGGGCUAAAUCCUAUGGGGAAUUUGGCUUUUAGCUUUUAGCCCACACAUUUAGCAUGGAUUGAAUUUAGUUUUUUUUUUUUGGAGGGAGGGGGGACCUUAAAAAUAGCAUUUAAAACGUCAGUUACUUAAUUACAUAAUUAUUUGGGGAUUACUUAAUUAUUUACUCAAACUAACUAAACAUAAAUUAUAAUUCCCUUGAUUUAUAUGCAGUGUGAGGAUCGGGAAUGAGUUUAGGGCUGGGCAUCCAAAAGCGGCUGCAUUAGCAGUUGUGAUGGUAACUUCAAGUUUAUCAUUCUCAACGGCAUUCAACCUGUUUUGUUAGGUAAGUGAAAUUUCACGUUAAAUGUAUGAGAAAUAAUUUUUGUAUAUUCGUUUUCUCCUUCUGCACUCCUCCUUUUAUUUAUACACUUUAUUUAUUAUUUAAGGUUUUUUACUGUUAAAGUCCAUAGAUUCUUUUGUAUUUAGGGAUAUAUCAAGAGUAAAUUUCGUUUUUUGGCUAGAUCAAUGGAUUAUUUUUAUUAAUUAGUGUAAGAUUAAUGGCAUGGAGCUCGUGUUUUAUGUGCUUCCUUAGUUUGUGCAUGAAGAGUACUAUUUAACCCAUAUUAAGAUAAAAAGAAUAUUGUGUACUCUCUCUUCUUCACUUGUCUGAUGCUUGCUCUUGAUACAACAACAACAACAACAAAUCAUUUUCCCACUAAGUGGGGUCGGCUAUAUGAAUCCUAGAACGCCAUUGCGCUCGGUUUUGUGUCAUGUCCUCCGUUAGAUCCAAGUACUCUAAGUCUUUUCUUAGGGUCUCUUCCAAAGUUUUCCUAGGUCUUCCUCUACCCCUUCGGCCCCGAACCUCUGUUCCGUAGUCACAUCUUCGAACCGGAGCGUCAGUAGGCCUUCUUUGCACAUGUCCAAACCACCGUAACCGAUUUUCUCUCAUCUUUCCUUCAACUUCGGCUACUCCUACUUUACCUCGGAUAUCCUCAUUCACAAUCUUAUCCUUUCUCGUGUGUCCACACAUCCCACGAAGCAUCCUUAUCUCCGCUACACCCAUUUUGUGUACAUGUUGAUGCUUCACCGCCCAACAUUCUGUGCCAUACAACAUCGCUGGCCUUAUUGCCGUCCUAUAAAAUUUUCCCUUGAGCUUCAGUGACCUACGACGGUCACACAACACCCCGGAUGCACUCUUACACUUCAUCCAUCCAGCUUGUAUUCUAUGGUUGAGAUCUCCAUCUAAUUCUCCGUUCUCUUGCAUGAUAGAUUCUAGGUAGCGAAAACGGUCGCUUUUUGUGAUCUUCGCUAGAUUGCUCCGGUCAUUAGUGUGGAUAAGUAUAUAAAUGGAUAGAGAUAGGAAAGCAAACACCAGAUGUACGUGGUUCACCCAUAUUGGCUACGUCCACGAAAUAGAGGAGUUCUCAUUAAUUGUGAAGGGUUUACACAAGUACAUAGGUUCAAGCUCUCUUUUAGUGAGUACAAGUGAAUGAUUUAGUACAAAUGACAUUAGGAAAUAUUGUGGGAGAAUGAUCUCGUAAUCACGAAACUUCUAAGUUCCGGAGUGUGGUAUCGUCUUGACUUGCCUUAUCUGUCUCGUAGGUAGAUGUGGCAUCUUCUCUGGAAGUACUCUUCCUCCAUCCAGGGGUGGUAUCUUUAACUGGUGGAGAUGCACAAGGUAAUGUAUCAAUUUCACUUGAAGCUUACUUGUAGUUUCAGGCUUGGUCAAGCGCGAUACAAACCAUGUAGUAGGAGUCCUCCAAGUCGCCGAGCUAGGGGAUCUGCUGAAAGAGGUGACAGACAAGGUAAGCAAUCAGAGCUCCAAGCAAUCAGUCCCAGAUCAGAACUUUGAUUUCGAGUUCCGGCUGAUUGUUCACAUUCUCCCUAUCUUGCAGGCAGCAUGAAGGAUAAAGAGAAGAAAAAUGAGAAGAGAUGAUGUGGGAUACUUUUGCUUUUGAAGAAUUAACUUUCCACAGGCUUAUUCUUGAACUGGGCUGGAGGGUUUUCUGGUUUCCUCCAGAGUAUAAGGCCAACUGAAGAAUUUGAGGGUCAAAACAAGUCCAUCAAAUCUAUAGUACGUUCGACCCUGCUGAUAUGGGAUACUUUUGCUUUUGACAGAGUAGUGGAUGUAUCGGCACGUGUGCUGUUACGCUUGUCUCCACAUGCUUCCUUGUAUCCUUCUCACUUGCUCUAUAUGUUCCUCUGGCAGAUGCGGUAUCUUCCCUAGAAGCAUAAGAUGUUGAAGAUGAGUACUCGAGAGCAAUGCCAGGUAAGUAAUCAAGUAAGGGGUUCCAGGCAGUCAGUUCCUGACUGGAAGCUUGAUUCCAAGUGUUGACUGAUUGCUCUCUUUCUCCUUGUCUUGGAGGUAAGAACAAGGCCAAAGGAAAAGACAAGGAAAAAACAUGAUAUGGGAUACUCUUGCUUUUAACCCUGAUGAUAUGAGAUAUUCUUGCUCUAGUAUAGCUUGUUUGCAGAGGUAUUAUCGGGGGGAAAGAAAGCUGAAUAUUUCGAAAAGCUUCUUUGGGAGUGCCCUCUCAGAUAUGAGGAAGGGUUGAGCAUUUUUGCAGGUCUGCCUGUCUGUUGGGGAUGGAGGUCAACAUAUAUAGGAGUCUCCCUAACAACAAGUAGUAAUGCUAUUCAUUUACCCUGCUUGGUCAUAACACGGUAGUGGGAGCUGCCAGCUUCACAUGUUUUAACUCUGUCAGAGCACUUUGAAAAAAUGGUCUGUGGUAUCUGGAAAGCUGAUGUUGCGUGUAAAGAUUACAGACAAGCUUUAUCCAAGGAGAUCCGGCUCUUGAAGUUGGGAAAGUGGUGCCUCUUCGGUUUUCGAACAAGCAAUCAUGUCGGAGAUCUGGCUCUCGAGAUUCGGAGAACGAUGCCUUUUCGAUUUUUGAGAAAGCAAUCCUGCUCGGGGUCUGGCUCUCGAGAUUCGGAGAGCGGUGUCUCUUCGAUUUUUGAGAAAGUAAUCAUGUUGGGAAUCUGGCUCUCGAGAUUCGGAGGGCGAUGCCUCUUCGAUUUUGGAGCAAGCAAUCUUGUUGGGAGUGUUUUCUCGAAUGUGAGAAAAGGUUGGGCAUGUUUGCUAGUCUAUCUUGCCACGAAGCACAGAGGUUGACACAUAGGGACUUUCCAAUUAUCCAGCAGUGGUACUGUUCCUUUACCCUUGUGGGUAAUAAUAUGGUAGCUAGACCUUCAAAAUUUAUGUGUCUAAACUUUGUUAGUGCUGUUUCUUUGCUAUUCUUUUACCCUUCUUGGUCAGAGCAGUGUAGUGGGAGCUGCAAGCUUCACGUGUCUCAACUUUGUCAGAGAACUUUGGCAAAGUUAUCUGUGGUACCCAUGAGCUAAUGUUGCGUGUGGGAAGUGGGUGAUUGAACAGUAAGAUUCAUGUGCUUUCUACUUCACCAGAAAUCUUCGACAUAAUGCCCAUAAUUUUCGCAAAGCUGACAGGUGCUGACAAGGCUGGAAAAGUAGGUGCCUCUUCGAUUUCUGAGAUCGGCCCUCGUGGUCUCUGAGCAACCCAGCUUUUGAGAAAGCAAGCGCCUCUUCGAUUUCUGAUAUCGGCCUUCGUGGUCUUUGAGCAGCCCAACUUUUGAGAAAGCAAACGUCUCGUGGUCUCUGAGCAGCCCAGCUUUUGAGAAAGCAAACGCCUUUUCGAUUUCUGAAGCUCCGUCGAGUGCAGAUUUUAUAGAGGCUGGCAUUAAGUUCCAAAGCACACUUGAAUCUUCACCAGUAGAAGCUCCAUUCUUGCACUUCUAAGAUCUUGAUUUGUCCGACCUCUUCUCUCUUCAACACUUUUGAAAAUGUUUGGCCCCUCCGACCGUCGUUUUGACUUGAACCUUGUUGAAGAGGCAGCCACGCCUUCUCCAGACAACAUAUGGCGCCCAUCCUUCGUCUCCCCUACUGGUCCUCUUACCGUUGGGGAUUCCGUGAUGAAGAAUGAUAUGACCGCUGCGGUAGUGGCCAGGAACCUUCUCACUCCCAAAGAUAACAAACUACUUUCCAAACGGUCUGAUGAGUUGGCUGUUAAGGAUUCUCUGGCUCUCAGUGUUCAGUGUGCAGGUUCUGUGUCUAACAUGGCCCAACGCCUAUUUGCUCGAACCCGCCAAGUUGAAUCAUUGGCGGCUGAAGUGAUGAGUCUCAAACAGGAGAUUAGAGGGCUCAAGCAUGAGAAUAAACAGUUGCACCGGCUCGCACAUGACUAUGCUACAAACAUGAAGAGGAAGCUUGACCAAAUGAAGGAAUCUGAUGGUCAGGUUUUACUUGAUCAUCAGAGAUUUGUGGGUUUGUUCCAAAGGCAUUUAUUGCCUUCGUCUUCUGGGGCUGUACUGCGUAAUGAAGCUCCAAAUGAUCAACCUCUGCUGCCUCCUCCUUCUAGGGUUCUGUCCAGUACUGAGGCUCCAAAUGAUCCCCCUCCAGUGCCUGCUUUUUCUGGGGCUCUACCGACUGCUGAGACUUCUCCUAAGCAACCUUUGUGAAGGCUCCCUCUUGUUUGUUUAUUUUGACUCAUGUAUAUGUACAUAUUUGUGACUUAUCGGGGAUAUCAAUAAAUAGCUUUCCUUCAUUUCAACGUAUUGUGUUAAAUACACCAAAGCCUUCUUCGCUAAGUUCUCUGAAUUUUCUUUUGUUGAAGCUUGUAUGUUGAAGCUUUGUGAGUGGAGCAUGUAGGUUGAGGUAGUAUUCCCUUAAUUUCCCGAGUGAGGAAAACUUCUCGGUUGGAGACUUGGAAAAUCCAAGUCAUUGAGUGGGAUCGGCUAUAUGAAUCUUUGAACGCCAUUGUGCUCGGUCCUGUGUCAUGUCCUCCGUUAGAUCCAAGUACUCUAAGUCUUUUCUUAGAGUCUCUUCCAAAGUUUCCUAGGUCUUCCUCUACCCCUUCGGCCCUGAACCUCUGUCCCAUAGUCGCAUCUU
rnacentral:lncRNA from 1 species